AUACCGGCAGCUGAGUGGUUUGAGCGCUGGUACGAUAAACCAGAGACCUUGGGUUCGAUUCCCGGUUGGGAUA